AAUCCAUUUUGCUCCGAUCUCACACCCUCUCAGUAGUUUUGCUCGAUGAGGUAAUCCGCUAGGCGCUCAACAACAACGUUGCAUUCGCCCGGUGCGACCGGCUCGUCAUACAGCCCGAUGACCAGAGCGCUGGAAGUCUUCUUGAUCGUCACUCCGGCAGAUCCCUGCGAGCCCAGAUCGAUCGAUCAAUCAAACUUUCCUCUCGAUCUUUACCUUCUUUCCCCUGAUCACAACGCCGGCCUCGCCUUGGAUCACCAUGUACUUGCUGCCGCUGAGGUAGAGGCCGUUCUGGGCGAGCUGCGAGGAAUCGUCAAACGCAUUCAUCACGUUGGUAAUCUCCUCGGGCUUGACCUGCGCGGACAUAGAUAGGGUUUGUGGAUGGAUUGAUUGAAUCGCUCGCUCGCUCGCUCGCCAAGAAAUCCAGAAAUCGCUCUUCUUACCGCU
rnacentral:lncRNA from 1 species